CUGCUCAAUUCACUGUCAUUUGGGAUUUAAAUCACUUUGUUUCUGUUUAUGCAGCCCUAGCCACACCUCCCCUGGCUAUGAUUGACAGAGCCUGCAUGAAAAAAAAAAACUGGUUUCACUUUCAAACAGAUGUAAUUUACCUUAAAUAAUUGUAUCUCAAUCUCUAAAUUGAACUUUAAUCACAUACAGGAGGCUCUUGCAGGG